UCGUUUUCUUUGUCUCUAAACUCAAAAAUUGCAGAGAUGAUCUCGAAUGAGAAAACAUUCUCUUGGGCGCUGCGAGAGAAUAACUUCUUUCUCUCCUUCAAACCAAUAGUACAUUGUAGCAGGCGCCCACUUGUUCUACAACUCCUUCAAACCAAACUUAAUCUUGAUGAGAGUUCUUGCCCCAUCCUGGCAAACGAUUUCAAUGAAAUUCGUUCGGAAAUUUAGGUAUUCUUGAAUUGCAAGACUUUGUAGUAUUAGACUUAAUUUGAAUUUUGACUCAAUGUAUUUAAACUGGGUGUACAGCAAGUCUCAAGAUCAAUCAAGAAGACCAAAAAAAAAUAAGAGGGUUACUUCAAGUCUCAAGAUCAAAUCAAUAAAUUGUGAAGUAUUAUAAUUUUGGUGCAACACAUCAGAACACUUCUUCCGGGAUUGAAAUAAUGCAUUAGUGCUGCACUUGUGACUUCUGCAAAGGAGCAUGCUAGCUACGGGGAGAUCAUGGAGUCAAAGGCUGGUAUGGGUGCUCUCCUUCUGAACAUUCUUUUCAAGUACAGUGAAGGAAAUUUAUCCUUGUGAAGAUUUAACUGAUGAUGACAUCCAAACUGCCAUUCAAAAUGCAAUGGGUCCCAAAUCCGCUUUAUUUGUGCCAGAAGUCCCAUUUCAAGUUCACAUCUGAAGGCAAAUAGCAUGUUUCAUGAAACCGAGUUUUCAGUGUGCAAGAUUUAUAUAUGAUGAGCCGGUUAAAAUGAGCCACCAUUGUAUGGUCAAUGAGUUGCAACGUUCCCAAUUUUGAGAAAGUGCAUGGAUGAGGUUAUAGGAAUUUUUUUUGCAUGAAGGACUGGGACCUUCAGAAAUAAUGAUUGGACACAUCAUUGAGAUGGAGGUAUGUCAAAAUAUUGGGUCUUUUGUUUGGUUUUGGUUAUACCUAAAUACAACACACAUUUGCAUCUAUGAUCAAGUUUAUUGGAUUGUGGUUGAUAAGUGGGAACUAUUUUUGAAAUAUUUAGCUAGAAUUUGAAUCUGUUCUUGCCAGAAAAGUUGUGAAUUGCUUUAGCAAAUCACUAAAAUUCUUAUGAAUCUUUUGCUGUUUUUUCUUCAACUUAAUUAUUUUUUCUUUAUCAGAUGGAUUACAUAAAUACUUCAUGUCCAACGAAAAAAAUGAUCUCUUCACCAACAGUAUGUUUUGAGAAAUACUUUCACCUUGAAAUACUUAGACAUGCCUUACCUUGGCACUGGUGGUUGUGAAUAUUUUUUUUUUACACAGUAACCAUGUCUGUUCUGGCACAUGAGAAGCACAACAUGAACAUUUAUACACAUGGUUAAUAAUGUCCUUUAUAUAUACCUUUCUUUGUUGGGUUUACAGUAUAUGUGAGCAGGGAUGUACCAAGCAGCUAACUUUGUCUUGAAAAAAGCAUCAAAAUCUGGACACUCUUUUCUGUGAGACAAAUUAUAGUUG